ACUUAAAUAGUUUAAAAAAAAUGUUGGUCUGUGAAUCCAAAGAUGUGUAAAGCACUUUAGGUA
rnacentral:tRNA from 1 species